UACGUAGGGUGCAAGCGUUGUCCGGAUUUAUUGGGCGUAAAGGGCUCGUAGGCGGUCCGUCACGUCGGAAGUGAAAACCUAGAGCUUAACUCUGGGCCUGCUUUCGAUACGGGCGGACUUGAGUUCGGUAGGGGAGACUGGAAUUCCUGGUGUAGCGGUGGAAUGCGCAGAUAUCAGGAGGAACACCAAUGGCGAAGGCAGGUCUCUGGGCCGAUACUGACGCUGAGGAGCGAAAGCGUGGGGAGCGAACAGGAUUAGAUACCCUGGUAGUCCACGCCGUAAACGGUGGGUGCUAGGUGUGGGAGACUAUCUACGUUUUCCGCGCCGCAGCUAACGCAUUAAGCACCCCGCCUGGGGAGUACGGCCGCAAGGCUAAA
rnacentral:rRNA from 1 species